UAUCUGUGACAGGUUGCGUAGUUUUGGAGGAAAUACUUACCGAGUGUAGAAAUAUUCUGGAAUUGUUAUAAGUGUAGAAUACUUGGAGAACUUGAGGAAAGAAUAACACAUUUGUACAAUAACACUGGAAGUUAUUCAGCCCAGUGACACACAAACAUCAGAUAGGAACUUUCCUGCUGGAUCAGCUGUGAAUGAAUCCUCCGUCAGGAUUUGUAUAAGGGGGGAGUUUUUUUGACAUUCCUGAGAUAUUACUGGUGUUUGGGAAUCCUUCUGGCGGGGUGUACGUCCGGCCAAUCCAGAAACAGGAAGGUUUACGAUGAACAGGAAAUGGUUCAGUGCAGCGUACAACCAAGUGGCUAUGAGUCCCUGAAUGUAAGCCAAACUCAAAGUAGAAAUGCGAGCAGUUUCUGAUGAAAACCUUAAGAAUUAUAAGUGGAUUAAAAUGUGCACAGCCGUCAAAACAGACGUGGAUGUGACAGUUAGUCAAUUAUUACAGAUCAGCCCAGGUGUGAUUAGUGUACACUGAUAACUCGGAUGCUUGGGAUGAUAGAUCUGUGUUUCUACUCAUUUUGUGAUUUUUUUAUCAUGUGAUCAUCGUUAAGUGUAUUUGUGAGGAUCUGUGUUAGUAUGGAUAAAUUUGGGGUACAUUUAAAACACACCGAGUUACCAAAUUCAAGAGAGAAAGAGAGAGAGAGAGAGAGAGAGAGAGAGAGAGAGAGAGAGAGAGAGAGAGAGAGAGUUAUGGAUGGAUUACAUGUAACAUAUUGUACAAGUAUACCUACAGUGUGGAUGGGUUUUUUUAUAUUUUCAUGUUUUAUUAAAUUUUCAAAGUUGCUUUUUUGUAAUUGGAAAUUUUUACUAUAGCUCUAAAAUUUAGCAUAUCUGUAUGUGUUGAUGUACGGACUGGUCUAUUUUAGUCUUUUAGGUUUUUGUUUUAAUUUAAGAAAAACAAAAAAGAAACAACUCACCUUUUUAGUUGACAAAUCUUUUUACUCAAAUAUAGAUUUUAAGGAAGGAAAAUGUACAAGUGCUGUGUUUUUUUUCUUGUUAAGGAAGACAGUUAUGCAAGAACUGGUAAAGUGUACUUGUAUAGUGUAAAUUUUUUGUAUUACUUGAAGAACAUUCAUUUUUAAUCUCUUUAUGAGUAACUUGAAGAUUUGGAUGGUUUACUUAAUUAAGCAAGAGAAAAUAUUUUAUACAUGCAUUUUUUAAUCAUUGGUCGUCUGUUGAAGUAUCAUCCUCCAUUUUCCUUUGUUACUAGAUAUAUGAAGGACAUGUUUACAUUGAAAUCAUCGAACUGUUGCAAUUGUGAGCAGUUUAAAGAUUUCCUACAUUAAUAUUAAUUCAAUAAUCAACAUGUUAAGCUUACGGUUUCUUUGUGUAUUCAAAUAUCUGUUAUCAUUUUAACUGAUAAGGAAUAAAACGCUAUAAACUU
rnacentral:misc_RNA from 1 species